ensembl:lncRNA
UUUAUAAUUACCCGUUCUAAUUCUUUUAAUUUAUAUUUCUUAUCUUAUUGCUAUAGCUAAUAUUUCAAGUACAGUGUUAAAUAAUAGAGGUGACGAUGAGCAUCCUUGCUUUAACCCUGAUUGCAUUAGGAAAGUUUCUAGCUUAUCCCUCUUACAUGUAUAAGAUAUAAAUAUAGAACAAUGCUUGCUCAUGGUUUUAGAUAAAUAUUACUUAUCAACUUAAGGUAAGCUUCAUUUUUUCUUAGUCUUUCUAGUGCUUUAUUUUGUCAAAGGCUUUUUCUGCAUCUAUUGAGAUAAUCACUUAAUUUCUGUUGGUUUUAUUAUUGAUAUGGUCCAUUAUGCUGAGCGUUUUCCUUAUAUUGAACCAGCCCCACAUUCUACCCAGUCAUAGUGUAUGAUCCUUGUGAUAUAUUGCUAUUAAUAUUUUACACUUCUUGAAAUGGACUCCAUUGACCCCAUAAUUAUUUACCUGUCCUUUCAAUACAUUCUCCUAUAUAUUUUUCAUCCAUAUCACAACAAUGGAGACAAUCAAGACCAUGGGCAUCUGUGGUAUCGGCCUCUCCCUCAGAGUUGCCGUUGAAAGUCAGUGACUUUUUAAUGGAUUCCAUUAUCAUCCCUAUCGAUUUUCUUAGCAUUUCAAAGGUCUUGGCAGAACAAGACCAAGCUCCCUUUUCUUUCUAGGUCCACGUCUAGAUUUUAACCCCCUUCCCUUUUGGGAAGUUCUUUCUGGUCUGCCUUCCAUGUGUACUCUCAGAUACAAGAUGAAAGGGAGGGAGAUCAUCCAUCAGUUCUAUGGUAGUAGGGGGCCUUCUGGAAGGAGUUAGUGGGACUGUUCUUUGAAGGGGAGUGCAAUUUUUAUAGCAGGGAGAUUAAUUGUAGGAGAAAGAGCUGCAUGGAUGGAGAAGAAUGUUGAGGAGGAGGGCAAGAUGAGACGGCAUUUGCAGGAAUGACCAAGGUUUAUAUAGCGUAAGUUGGAGCCAGGAAGUUCUCAAAUGCCAGGUUAAGUAUUUUGCGCCUCCAGACAAAGCUGGAUAUACUGAUCCACAGUCAACAGGAGAAAGACUUGGCAACAGAAGGGAAAACUGAGAAAGGGUCAUUGCUGGAGGACUGGUAAGGACAGUAAGUUUUGAUGGACCACUGGGGACAGAAAUCAUGUUUCUGUUUGUGUUCCCAGGGGCUACGCUUCCUAAUUGCUUUUUGGAUUGGAUUAUAUGAUCUUUCCCCACUCCCAUCCUAUGGGCCUUUGGGGGUAGCAAAUGCAACUUGAACCCCCAUCCUCACCCCCAAAUUAGCUCCUAGAUCUAGCUGCUUAGAAACGUAUCUGGCUAGUUUGUGGGAGAAGCCACAGGACUAGGCCUUGAGAGAGACAGAAAGUUCUUAGUCCAUGACCUGGCAGCAGUUUUUCCCAAAUCCAACAACUAGAGUUGGGGACAAAGGUGCUGUAAUCCCAGCCUCCCCCACAUGCAUGAGACCAAACAAGUUUCCUUUAGCUUCUGGACCCCUGGUCCUCAGGCCUCUAGAUCCUGGGUUUCUGGAUUCCCGGGUUUCUGAGCUCCGGGGCCUCAGGGAUCCCAAGUUAUGAUGUUGAUUCCGGCUCUCUGGCUUACCAAUGAGAUUUUGGGCCUCUGGAGUUGGAGAUCAGGUCUGUGGCUCUCAGAUGUCUGGGUCCCGGGGUGCCGGGUCUCUGCUUCUCCAGGCCUUUGGACUCCUGAGGUUUUGAGGUUGCUAAGCCUCUUCAUUUCCAUCCUCCCGAAUUUCUGGGCUGUCAACCUUGGAGCACAGACUGGUGACGUGGGCAGCAGGAGUUUCUGAGGUUUUGCUGUUUACAGUAGUUUUUUCCUUCAGACAGCAGAGUUCCCAGGGUUGGAUGGACCCCAGGACCAAGGAGUGCUGAGUGUGUACGGGGAGGAGCAUGUGGGGCAAAAGCAGGGCAAGCAAGAGGGAGGCUGGGAGCUUUUUGUUUCACUUUCUCCCUUUUUUCUCUGUACCUCUAGUGCCAGACAGGGGACGUGGCACAUAAUAAUUGCUUAUGUGCUUGUUGAUUGUUUUUUUGAGUGAAUAGACAAUAUAUCUAGAGUCAAAGGAUCUGGGUUCAGAUCCUGUGUGAUCAUAGCUGUCACUUUCACCCUCGGGGCUAUUCUUGGCUAUUGAAGGGAUCUCUCUGCUCUACUUUCUGGGCUUCUUUGAUCUAUGACCUGACCUUUCCUAAGGACUGGUGGUCCUUGCCCAGCUCAGAGGCCCUCUAGAUCCUGGUUGCCGGCUCACAUCUAGGCUCUUUUGCCUGCCACUCGGGGCAGCUUGGAUCCAGCCAAGAGAACAGGAUCCUUUUCCUUCCCUACCAUCCCCUGGCCCUCCUCUGAAACUCCAUUUCCAACUCUCCUAUCUCCCCCUAGUGGCCAGAGCUUUACAUUUUCUGGAGCUGGGGCUUAAAGUGGGGGACACUCACUGGCCAGAGCCAGCAGGCUGUCUCUGCGGGUUUAGUCUAAGGGACUUCGGAGCAAGGCCUUGGGCUAAGGGAUUCCGACUUUUAAAACGUUAAUAUCUUUUCUUUUUAUGGCAUCUUCAUUUUCAAAUAUAUCCCCACUUCCCCUUUCCCUAGUCUAGGGACCAUGCUUUCUAACAAGUAAAAAAGAAAAGAAAAAAGGAAAGGCAACUCUUUGAAAUUAACCAAUCUACUAGUUGAGUCUGACCAUAUUCACUGUUCCACAACCAUAGGACCCCACUUCCUCAAUAGAGGAAGAUAUUUUUUUUCAUAUUUAUUUGUAUUUAUUCAUUUUGUAUUUAUGUACUUCUAUAUUUCCUUAUUGUCUCAUUGUUUCAUUCUUUGUACUUAGAUUCUCAGAGCCUAAGUCAGUCUCAGUGUCUGGCAUACUGUAUGUGCUUAAUAAAUGAUUAUUGAUUGAUUGGUGGAG